rnacentral:rRNA from 1 species
UACGGGGGGGGCAAGCGUUGUUCGGAAUUACUGGGCGUAAAGGGUUUGUAGGUGGCUUGUUAAGUCAGACGUGAAAUCCCCUCAGCUUAACUGGGGGAACUGCGUCUGAUACUGGCGAGCUUGAGUGCAGGAGAGGAACGCGGAAUUCCAGGUGUAGCGGUGGAAUGCAUUGAUAUCGGGAGGAACACCAGUGGCGGAAGGCGCCCAUCUGGCCUAAUACUGACGCUCAUGCACGAAAGCUAGGGGAGCAAACAGG